rnacentral:rRNA from 1 species
UCGAGGGGCAGCAUGGGGAGUAGCAAUACUCUCUGAUGGCGACCGGUGCAAGGGUGCGUAACGCGUGAGCAACUUGCCCUCAUCAGGGGAAUAAUCGCUGGAAACGGCGCCUAAUACCCCAUGGCGAUAUAUUGAGGCAUCUUGAUAUAUCUAAAGCUCCGGCGGAGACGGAUUGGCUCGCGUGACAUUAGCUGGACGGCGGGGUAACGGCCCACCGUGGCUACGAUGUCUAGGGGUUCUGAGAGGAAGGUCCCCCACACUGGAACUGAGACACGGUCCAGACUCCUACGGGAGGCAGCAGUGAGGAAUAUUGGUCAAUGGGCGGGAGCCUGAACCAGCCAUGCCGCGUGAAGGCGAGUGCCCUACGGGCGUUAAACUUCUUUUGUGCGGGAGCAAUAAGGGCCACGCGUGGCCCGAUGAGAGUACCGCACGAAUAAGCAUCGGCUAACUCCGUGCCAGCAGCCGCGGUAAUACGGGGGAUGCGAGCGUUAUCCGGAUUUAUUGGGUUUAAAGGGUGCGUAGGCGGCGCUUCAGGUCAGCGGUGAAAUACCGGGGCUCAACCCCGGGGCUGCCGUUGAAACCGGAGCGCUAGAAUUCCGAUGCCGUCG